rnacentral:tRNA from 1 species
UCCCGGUUGGCCAAGUGGUUUAAGGCAUCGCUCUUAUGUAGCGAGGGUCGUGAGUUCAAACCUCACACUGGGAA